rnacentral:lncRNA from 1 species
GUGAAUUUAGAUAUUAUAAUUAUUUAUCAAACAAAAACAAAAAAAAAAAAGAGAUUUAAUAAUUUAACAAAUAAUAUUUAUGAUUAGUAUUAUCCUAAUAAGGAGAGUGAGAGGACGCGCCCGACGAGUCGAGUGGGCAUUGAAAUACAGAAGACCUGUCCACUUUUAGCAAGCUAGGAGGAUGGUGGACGUGGUGGAUUGGGUAAGGGAGGGGACAAGGAGACCGAAAUUGGAUAAAGUCGAAUCUUUUUAAAUAUAUUUUCUCCCUUCUUUCCGUAAUAUAUGAAAACCCUACACCUUUAUUAACUUCAUCUCCUCCCUCCCUCCAUCUCAUCUCAUCUCGUCUCAACUUUCUUUCAUCAGGAUUUCUGAAACUCAAAUCCGUGUGUUAUAACAAGUGGGUAUUGCAGGAAACUUACAAGGAAAGAAGCUAUGGAGUCUGUUUUGUUCGAGCAAGAAAGGGCUGAUUACCAUGAAGUUGAUGAUGCUGGUUCGGUGAUUUCCUCUUCUUCUGAAUCUUCUUCUUCUUCUGAAGCUUCAACCAUGGAGGAAGAUGAUUCCCCUCGUGAAGAAGUCACUUCUCAUUCUUCAACUAAGGAUCCUCUUCUUCAAAUGUCUUCUCUUCUUCGACAACUCCCCUUCAAGUAACUCCUACCUCUCUCUCUCUCUCUCUCUAAGUAUUAUAAUUUAUUUUAUUUGCCUAAAGAACUUCUGACAAUCUUAGUUUAGAAAAAUAUAUAAAGAAUGUUUUGAUGAUAAAUACAUAUUAAUAGGAAAUGCAUUAAUAAUUAGAUAUCUAUAUAAAGAUUAAAUAAAAUAUAUUAGAGAGAGAUGUUACAAUAAAAUAAAUUUAGUGUUUAUAAGAAAAAUGUUUAGAAUUAAUGUAAAAUUUAUAAUUUAUUUUUUAAUUAAAAUUUAAUCUCUAUUUAUAUUUUAAUUAUGGUAAUUUAAGUUUUAAUUAAAUUUAAUUCAUCUUUAAUUUUUUUUAAAGUUAAUGAUAGGUUAUCUUUAUCUUUAGCAGAUUAAUUAUAAUAUUUAUUUUUUAAAAUUUGAGUUAGUUUAUAUGUAAUUCUACUUAAAAGCAUGCUAAGAUAUCAAUUUGUGUAAGAUCGAAAAACCCCAACAUCUCUGUUUGGCAUUUUAUCAAACAGGUGAUGUGCAUGGUGUUUUGUUUUUUUGUUUUCUCUAGACUUUAAUGGUGGGUUUUGGUUCAGGAGGGGGUUAUCGAAGCAUUACCACGGAAAAUCACAGUCGUUN